rnacentral:tRNA from 1 species
UGGAUCACCUCCUAACAGGGAGACAACAAAAUGUUUAAUAUUAUUAUUUUGUCACCUUAGGUCGAUCGGUAUCUCACGUUCUUAAUUCCUUAAGAAUUUCAUUUCCUAAGUUUUUCUAGGUCACACCCAUUAUUUUUCCUGGGCCAUUAGCUCAGGUGGUUAGAGCGCACCCCUGAUAAGGGUGAGGUCCCUGGUUCAAGUCCAGGAUGGCCCAUAUCUCUAUGUUGGGGGUAUAGCUCAGUUGGUAGAGCGCCUGCUUUGCAAGCAGGAUGUCAGCGGUUCGAGUCCGCUUACCUCCACUGAUUACCACCUCUUCCAUAACCGGUAGAAAGGAAAUGUUUUGAGUUGUGAUCAUUAUUCUGAACGAAUCUAGCUUCCUAAUGAAAUCAUUAAGAUGCUGGACUCAUUGAAUUAAUUUCAUUGUUUUCAGAGAACCUUGACAACUGCAUAGAUUAUUUUUAAAGACAAUAAGCAUCUUUAAUGAUGCAGAUUUAUUAUUUGUGCAAAUGCAUUAAUAACAAUUCUAUUAAGCUGAUGCUUCAAUAUUUGAAGUUAUUGGUCAAGCUACAAAGGGCUCACGGAGGAUACCUAGGCACACAGAGGCGAUGAAGG